rnacentral:rRNA from 1 species
UAACCUGCGGAGGGAUCAUUACCGAGUUUACAACUCCCAAACCCCUGUGAACAUACCUAUACGUUGCCUCGGCGGAUCAGCCCGCGCCCCGUAAAAAGGGACGGCCCGCCCGAGGACCCCUAAACUCUGUUUUUAGUGGAACUUCUGAGUAAAACAAACAAAUAAAUCAAAACUUUCAACAACGGAUCUCUUGGUUCUGGCAUCGAUGAAGAACGCAGCAAAAUGCGAUAAGUAAUGUGAAUUGCAGAAUUCAGUGAAUCAUCGAAUCUUUGAACGCACAUUGCGCCCGCCAGUAUUCUGGCGGGCAUGCCUGUUCGAGCGUCAUUUCAACCCUCAAGCUCAGCUUGGUGUUGGGACUCGCGGUAACCCGCGUUCCCCAAAUCGAUUGGCGGUCACGUCGAGCUUCCAUAGCGUAGUAAUCAUACACCUCGUUACUGGUAAUCGUCGCGGCCACGCCGUAAAACCCCAACUUCUGAAUGUGACCUCGGAUCAGGAGAAUCCCCCCACCCC